rnacentral:rRNA from 1 species
GGGGAAUUUUGGACAAUGGGCGCAAGCCUGAUCCAGCCAUGCCGCGUGGGUGAAGAAGGCCUUCGGGUUGUAAAGCCCUUUCGGCUGGGACGAAAAGGUCCGUGUUAACACCACGGACUAAUGACGGUACCAGCAGAAGAAGCACCGGCUAACUACGUUCCAGCAGCCGCGGUAAUACGUAGGGUGCAGGCGUUAAUCGGAAUUACUGGGCGUAAAGCGUGCGCAGGCGGUCUUUUAAGUCAGAUGUGAAAUCCCCGGGCUUAACCUGGGAACUGCGUUUGAAACUGGGAGGCUAGAGUGUGGCAGAGGGGGGUGGAAUUCCACGUGUAGCAGUGAAAUGCGUAGAUAUGUGGAGGAACACCGAUGGCGAAGGCAGCCCCCUGGGCUAACACUGACGCUCAUGCACGAAAGCGUGGGGAGCAAA